ACCCCUACCCCCAACCCCUUCUCUCUCUUCCUCUUUUAUGCUAAACCCUAGCCGACGCCUAUAUUCUCCCUCUCUCUCACAUCUAAAAACGGUAAAAAUGCAGAGAGCCUAGAAAAUGCACAGUUUUUGCAUAAUCAUUUUUAUGAAACAAUCAAUUUCUUCAAGUUUUAUUUUCACUCGAAUUUCUCCCAAACGCGGUAAUCACCCUUUUCUUUUACUUUUCUUUUGAAUUACUUAGUCAAAAAGUUGAUCUUUUCUAUUUUAUUUGUAGUACUAGGUUCGUAUUUACUCAAACCUCAUUGGUUGAAGGUGAAUAGGUCGGAUUGACUUCAACAGGACUCAGAUCUGACCAUUCAUUAAUGGUUUGAGUCAAUCUAGGCCGUAAAUAACAUUUGCAAGGGUUAAUUUCAGGAAAAGUAGUUUGUCCCACAUGGUUGGUUUGUUUCUUUGUAUGAAUUUUGGGGUUCUAUAAAUAGAACCCCAACCCUCACUUUAAAAAAAAAAAAAGUUUGAACAUCCAUAGCUUUAACUUUGAGUGAACAAAACUCAAAAUUUUGAGCUUUAGUUAAAAAAAAAAUUAAAGACUUAACUGCUAAGUGGAGUCUUCUAGUCCAAAUAUUUAUUUACUUUUCCUCUUGUGUGGUGGAGUGCGAGAAUUGGAAGCACAAAGGCUCCAAAUCCAUUCUUGUUCGCGGCUGCGCAAACAAAAGGGAUCCAUGUAUCAUUCAUCCUCGUGUCGUUUUAGACCACCGUCUUCUCCGGCGUGAUCUGACCGGCGUCAGUCGUCUUCUCUUUUCCGUUUCAGUAUAUCUUGACGCAUUCCAGCUGAAAUUGAUGCAAAGUUUCUCCGUAUGAGAUACGACGCAACCCUGAAUGCAUUUAUUGAUAACGAGAAACCACCAAUACCUGUCAAGGCUACCGUUGAUUAUGCUGCAGUGAUUUUAGUAGAUGUUGAGGAGUAGAUUUGUAGACAGAACAGUCUAUGUUUUAAGUUGCUUCUUUUUUUCUCCAACUUUUUUUUUAUGUAUAACAUCACUAUUGCGACAUUAUUUUUAUGAAGAUUUUAGAAGAAGUUUUAUGUAUUUUGGUAA